AUCACGUCUCAGCCUUUUGUCCAAGAUCAAACAUAGGUAUCUGCUCUUCUCACUUUAAUAUCUGAUACACCCUCUACCCGAGGACAACAUAUUAAAUGGAUUUUUGAGGAGGGAGAUGGAAUAGGAGCUUGCUCCGACCACGCUGUAGGUACAUCGACCCGGUCUUGCAGUAGCUCCGGAACAGUGCGCCCCCG